rnacentral:snoRNA from 1 species
CCAAUCGACAAUGGUGAGAUGAUAUCCUUUAUUCUGAACGGCCUUGAUUUUGAAUACAAUCCUAUUGUCUCUUCGGUUCUUGGGCAUUCAGAUCCCAUCACAGUCAAUGAUCUCUAUGCUCAGGACAUGGUGUAUGAGA